UAUUUUCUUUGAUGCAAUUUCCAGGCAAUCGUUUGGUCCCUAUGGGAAAGUGUACCCUCUUCCUCCUCGUCCCUUCAUUGAUGUGUAUAAACUGACCUUUUCCUGCAGAAAAUGGUGGAAGUGCGAGCUCAAGUGUUAGGUGGGCCAGUGCACCUUGCAGGUGACACAGUACAGGUCUGCAUCACCAUCACAGUUCCCUCAUUAGAUCCAGCUCUUCGAGCUCAGUCUAGUGAUGUGUGUGAAGUUCUUGCAUGGGGAAGUGCACAGAUUCAUUGUCAGUGUUCUGUAAAUGAGUCCAGGGUGCGAUUGCCAACUUUCAGUCCCAAGCAAGCAGAAGAGCGAGCUGUCACUAAUGCUGGUAAAUCCUAUUUCAACACUGUAUAGCUGAU